AUUGAACGCUGGCGGCAGGCCUAACACAUGCAAGUCGAGCGGAUGAGAGGAGCUUGCUUCUCGAUUCAGCGGCGGACGGGUGAGUAAUGCCUAGGAAUCUGCCUGGUAGUGGGGGACAACGUUUCGAAAGGAACGCUAAUACCGCAUACGUCCUACGGGAGAAAGCAGGGGACCUUCGGGCCUUGCGCUAUCAGCUGAGCCUAGGUCGGAUUAGCUAGUUGGUGAGGUAAUGGCUCACCAAGGCGACGAUCCGUAACUGGUCUGAGGGGGUUAUCAGUCACAGUGGAACUGAGACACGGUCCAGACUCCUACGGGAGGCAGCAGUGGGGCAUAUUGGACAAUGGGCGAAAGCCUGAUCCAGCCAUGCCGCGUGUGUGAAGAAGGUCUUCGGAUUGUAAAGCACUUUAAGUUGGGAGGAAGGGUUGUAGAUUAAUACUCUGCAAUUUUGACGUUACCGACAGAAUAAGCACCGGCUAACUCUGUGCCAGCCGCCGCGGUAA
rnacentral:rRNA from 1 species